ensembl:lincRNA Gm28286 predicted gene 28286
GGAAAGGCCACCUUGCUGAUUUGGAUCCGCGCCACCACUUCCUGCCCCGACAAAAAGGCUGAUGUUGUUGAUGUCGACUGGCCUAACAAGGAAAAAGGACGGAUGGAUCCACCCGAGAGACCUUUUGUCUUUAGAGUUUCUCUGUGAACUUCUGGCUGUAGAUCAGGGUGGUCCUGAACUCAGAGAUUCUCUGGUCUCUACCUCUCAAAUGCUUGGUUUAAAGGUUCUGUUCAUUUACUCUUGAUGCUGCCUGAAGAAAUCUGAGGCUGUUUGCUUCUGUUGUUUAAUGUUGCAAUCUGUCACCUCUAGCUUUCCCAAGGUGAAACAAACUAACCCCUUUAUCUACUGGCUCUUAAUGCUAGAAGGAAGCUAGCUUUUAUCAAGCCAUGUUCCAGACUGAGAGAGGACACAACGUCCCUCUCUGGUGGCCUCACGUGAUAGCCUUCAUCUACAAAGCUGGAGCUUUCUGUGGGAGGUCACACUGAUCACAUGGGAAACAGACUCUUCAGGGCCACACCUCUGCAGUGAGCCAGCAGGGCUGAGAGGCAGCAAAAGCCUUCCAGAAGCAUCCUUAGAGUUCUACCUU